CAAUAGCGUAUAUUAAAGUUGUUGCGGUUAAAAAGCUCGUAGUUGGAUUUCUGUUGGGAACGACCGGUCCGCCCAUUGGGUGUGUAUCUGGCUUGUUCUCGGCAUCUUCUUGGUGAACGUUGCUGCACUUGACUGUGUGGAGCGCUACCCAGGACUUUUACUUUGAGGAAAUUAGAGUGUUUCAAGCAGGCAUAUGCCUUGAAUACAUUAGCAUGGAAUAAUAAGAUAGGACCUCGGUUCUAUUUUGUUGGUUUCUAGAGCUGAGGUAAUGAUUAAUAGGGAUAGUUGGGGGCAUUCGUAUUAACGCGUCAGAGGUGGAAUUCUUGGAUUGCGUUACGACGAACUACUGCGAAAGCAUUUGCCAAGGAUGUUUUCAUUGA
rnacentral:rRNA from 1 species